GCGUGUAGCCCAAUACAGCACUGGGAUUUUUAGACACCACAUCACGUUCCAUGACUUGUUUCCGUGAUCACACAGAGGCCUUUCUGUGCAUUACUGCUUUCUCCUCUCAUUAUAGUCCAAGGACAUUAGAAUAAGCCUUUGGAAUCCAUUUGAUUAAAUUCUGCUGUUCAGUGGACUUAAUGAGUAUUUUAAUUCUCAAGAGAUUUCUAUAGGCAUAACAGAAGGGGGCAGACUAUCUGGGCCCCAGCCAGAGGGCUAAGCCUUUUGGGACUGGAACUGGAGCAGGAAAACCAUCUGGACUUCACAAAGCAGCACCCUAGGACAAGAAGACACAAAACAAUACAGCCAAAUCUAUUACUCACUCUUAUUGGACGAUGCGGUGGAUUUUUUACCCAGAUGACCACUUUGAAGCAGAUAACAAAUUGCACAGUACGUGGUGGACAGACGUGCUGGAGAAGGAGAGGGCAGCACUUUGAAAGUGUGGCAG